UGAGGAUGUAGCUUAGUGGUAGAGCCUUUGCCUUGCGUGUGCAAGGCCCUGGGUUCAAUAUCCAGCACUGAA
rnacentral:tRNA from 1 species